rnacentral:rRNA from 1 species
UACGUAGGGUGCAAGCGUUAAUCGGAAUUACUGGGCGUAAAGCGUGCGCAGGCGGUUUUGUAAGACUGUCGUGAAAUCCCCGGGCUUAACCUGGGAAUGGCGAUGGUGACUGCAAGGCUGGAGUUUGGCAGAGGGGGGUAGAAUUCCACGUGUAGCAGUGAAAUGCGUAGAGAUGUGGAGGAACACCGAUGGCGAAGGCAGCCCCCUGGGUUGAGAUUGACGCUCAGGCACGAAAGCGUGGGGAGCAAACAGG